AGUCCAGUAGCACCUUAGAGACUAACUAAGUUUGUUCUUGGUAUCUGAAGCAGUGUGCAUACACAGGAAAGCUUAUAUCAAGACCAAACCUAGUUGGUCUCUAAGGUGCUACUGGACG